rnacentral:rRNA from 1 species
GCCAGACUCCUACGGGAGGCAGCAGUGAGGAAUAUUGGUCAAUGGGCGCGAGCCUGAACCAGCCAAGUCGCGUGAGGGAUGACGGUCCUACGGGUUGUAAACCUCUUUUGCCGGGGAGCAAGCGUGCGUUCGUGAACGCGCGUCGAGAGUACCCGGAGAAAAAGCAUCGGCUAACUCCGUGCCAGCAGCCGCGGUAAUACGGAGGAUGCGAGCGUUAUCCGGAUUUAUUGGGUUUAAAGGGAGCGUAGAUGGGUUGUUAAGUCAGUUGUGAAAGUUUGCGGCUCAACCGUAAAAUUGCAAUUGAUACUGGCAGUCUUGAGUACAGUUGAGGUAGGCGGAAUUCGUGGUGUAGCGGUGAAAUGCUUAGAUAUCACGAAGAACCCCGAUUGCGAAGGCAGCUUACUAAACUGUGACUGACAUUGAUGCUCGAAAGUGUGGGUAUCAAACAGGAUUAGAUACCCUUGUACA